rnacentral:rRNA from 1 species
GACGAACGCUGGCGGCGUGCCUAAUACAUGCAAGUAGAACGCUGAAGGAGGAGCUUGCUUCUCUGGAUGAGUUGCGAACGGGUGAGUAACGCGUAGGUAACCUGCCUGGUAGCGGGGGAUAACUAUUGGAAACGAUAGCUAAUACCGCAUAACAGUAGAUAUCGCAUGAUAGCUACUUGAAAGGUGCAAUUGCACCACUACCAGAUGGACCUGCGUUGUAUUAGCUAGUUGGUGAGGUAACGGCUCACCAAGGCAACGAUACAUAGCCGACCUGAGAGGGUGAUCGGCCACACUGGGACUGAGACACGGCCCAGACUCCUACGGGAGGCAGCAGUAGGGAAUCUUCGGCAAUGGACGGAAGUCUGACCGAGCAACGCCGCGUGAGUGAAGAAGGUUUUCGGAUCGUAAAGCUCUGUUGUAAGAGAAGAACGAGUGUGAGAGUGGAAAGUUCACACUGUGACGGUAUCUUACCAGAAAGGGACGGCUAACUACGUGCCAGCAGCCGCGGUAAUACGUAGGUCCCGAGCGUUGUCCGGAUUUAUUGGGCGUAAAGCGAGCGCAGACGGUUAGAUAAGUCUGAAGUUAAAGGCUGUGGCUUAACCAUAGUACGCUUUGGAAACUGUUUAACUUGAGUGCAAGAGGGGAGAGUGGAAUUCCAUGUGUAGCGGUGAAAUGCGUAGAUAUAUGGAGGAACACCGGUGGCGAAAGCGGCUCUCUGGCUUGUAACUGACGCUGAGGCUCGAAAGCGUGGGGAGCAAACAGG